rnacentral:rRNA from 1 species
UACGUAGGGUGCGAGCGUUAAUCGGAAUUACUGGGCGUAAAGCGUGCGCAGGCGGUUUUGUAAGCCAGAUGUGAAAUCCCCGGGCUUAACCUGGGAAUGGCAUUUGGGACUGCAAGGCUGGAGUGUGGCAGAGGAGACUGGAAUUCCUGGUGCAGCAGUGAAAUGCGUAGAUAUCAGGAGGAAUACCGAUGGCGAAGGCAGGUCUCUGGGCUGACACUGACGCUCAUGCACGAAAGCGUGGGGAGCAAACAGG